rnacentral:rRNA from 1 species
AGUGAACGCUGGCGGUAGGCCUAACACAUGCAAGUCGAACGGCAGCACAGUAAGAGCUUGCUCUUACGGGUGGCGAGUGGCGGACGGGUGAGGAAUACAUCGGAAUCUACUUUUUCGUGGGGGAUAACGCAGGGAAACUUACGCUAAUACCGCAUACGACCUACGGGUGAAAGCAGGGGAUCUUCGGACCUUGCGCGUUUGAAUGAGCCGAUGUCGGAUUAGCUAGUUGGCGGGGUAAAGGCCCACCAAGGCGACGAUCCGUAGCUGGUCUGAGAGGAGGAUCAGGUACACUGGAACUGAGACUCGGUCCAGACUCCUACAGGGGGCAGCAGUGGUGAAUAUUGUGCGAUGGGCGCAUACCUGAUCCAGCCAUACCGCGUGGGUGAAGAAGGCCUUCGGGGUGUAGAGCCCUUUUGUUGGGAAAGAAGAUCAGCAGGUUAAUACCCCGCUGUUCUGACGGUACCCAAAGAAUAAGCACCGGCUAACUUCGUG